AUUUGAUAUACAUAUCUCAACAUAUAGAGUAUCUGAGGCAACAAUUAACAUGACAAUAUUUCUAAAGCUAUUGUUAUUUAGCUAUUGUUUAACGUUUAUCAGUGCAAAGACCCUUUUAACUGAUACACAAAUUGAACUAUAUGAAUAUCAUUUACAUGACUUUCAUAAAAUAAUAUCAGUACAUUAUAAUGUCCAACUUGAGCCCGAUAUCGAAAUAAAUACUUUCUUCGGCGAAUGUAAUAUUAACAUUACGAUUCUUGUACCAAAGCAAUACCUAACACUGUAUUCAAAAGUUAAAUGUAUAAAUAAUAUAAUUAUGACUGAUAAUCCGCCAAGAUUUUACAAAGGGGACAAUACAGAAAUUAUUGUUUAUCCGAUAAAUUAUUUAUAUAAGAAUACGAAUAAAAGUGUUCAGAUUUUUACAUAAAUUUUGCAUCACCAGAACAUUACAUUUUGUUUAUAAAAUAUCAUGAUAUUAUAAAUCAUGAUACAAAGUUGACAACUUUUUCCAAACAAAAAUAUAAAUGGUGGGUAAUGCCAACGCAUUUUGAUAUACUUGGGGCCCGACAAGUGUUUUCUCGCUUGAGCGAAUUUUUGCAAGCCACCUUUAACAUUAUUAUAAAGCAUGAUCGUGAAUACGUAGCUUUAUCAAUUAUGGAGGUAC